UACAGAGGUCCCAAGCGUUGUUCGGAUUCACUGGGCGUAAAGGGUGCGUAGGUGGCGCUGUAAGUGGGGUGUGAAAUCCCGGGGCUUAACCCCGGGACUGCAUUCCAUACUGCGGUGCUUGAGGACUGGAGAGGAGACUGGAAUUUACGGUGUAGCAGUGAAAUGCGUAGAGAUCGUAAGGAAGACCAGUGGCGAAGGCGGGUCUCUGGACAGUUCCUGACACUGAGGCACGAAGGCCAGGGGAGCAAACGGG
rnacentral:rRNA from 1 species